rnacentral:rRNA from 1 species
UACGGAGGGUGCAAGCGUUAUCCGGAUUCACUGGGUUUAAAGGGUGCGUAGGCGGGCAGGUAAGUCCGUGGUGAAAUCUCUGAGCUUAACUCAGAAACUGCCAUGGAUACUAUUUGUCUUGAAUAUUGUGGAGGUAAGCGGAAUAUGUCAUGUAGCGGUGAAAUGCUUAGAUAUGACAUAGAACACCAAUUGCGAAGGCAGCUUACUACACAGUUAUUGACGCUGAGGCACGAAGCGUGGGGAUCAAACAGG